GGCAAGGUGGCCGAGCGGUCCAAGGCGCCAGGUUCAGGUCCUGGUCUAGAAACAGGUGCGAGUUCGAAUCUCGCCCUUGUCA
rnacentral:tRNA from 1 species